AGCCACAAUGUGUCGAUUUCGUUGAGUGUGCAAGAUUUUCGGGAUUUCUGAAAUUUUUAAGCGCUACAAUCUUUUCAUCCUCUAUCUUCCAACCAUCUGAAGAAACUACAAAGCCUAGAAAUUUAACGGAUUGUUUUCCGAUUUCACAUUUCUCUUCGUUGACCCGAACAUUCAAAGAUUAAAAUAUCAUCCAGAUAAUUAAUAACGCCUUCGCACCCGGCAAGGACGACUGUCUGCAAGGACUCCUGAAAGAUGUCAGGUGCAUUACACAACCCGAAGGGAAGUCUCUUGUAGCGAUAUAUGCAGUCCCCUGCGAAAAAAUUUGUGAGGUGUCAGGAGUUUUCGUCAAGCUCUAUAUGGAAAAAGGCGUUUUUAAGGUCUAUAGUGGAAAACCACUUGGCACCGUGUAGCUCCAUAACGAUUGACUCGAAGGUAGGCAUUUUGAACGGUGUCCUAUGUAUGCAUCGGUUCGGACCUCUCAAGUCAAUGACAAGGCGGAUAUCGUCCUUACCCUUUGGGACUACCAACAAGGACGAGCAGAACGAACGGUCCAUUUCUAGUGUGACUUCUUCAAUGAUUCCUGAGCACAAAAGCUCCCCUAGCUUACGUUUAGUCAGCUCUUUAAAAGCCGGUGGAAUGUGAGUGUACACGUUACGUGACGGCGGUAGUUCUGAAUUGUACUUCAACGAUACAGGUGGUAUAUUGAAUUUGGGGAAUUCGUUUAGAGCUUGUAUUGAUGAUUCAUAGACAACCGCGUUAAGAUGGCUAUACUGCCGCUCAUAGCAAGUCCGUCCCAUUUGCGUUUUUGUUGAGUUGAGAAAACAGCAAUUGAAUUUUGUUACUUGUGUUGAGAAUUUUCGUAUUUUUCCGUGGUUUUGAUGGCGGCAAUCAACAGCAUUUGUUACUUACGUGACAAACAAUUACUUUUGCGUCAUUGCUCGUUCAAAAAUACCAAAAUUUAGUUUGUUUGGGAUGAAAAUUAUGCUCUGGGACGCAUAUGCGAUUAUUUCCAUGGUAGGUAUCUAGCAAAAAUGAUAGCAAGUCAGUCCCAUUCCAUAGCCAACUGCUAACGCUGAUGAAAAAAUAAGGCUAGAAGAGAGCUUGCCCCCGUCUAACGGAACCUAUUUCUUGAACAACCUUCGGUAAGCAUUCCAGAUUGCCCAAUUUUAACCAGGCUUCCGGAUCUAUAAGGAAUAAAUGGGAAAUUCCCGGUCUGAUCCGAUUGCCCGGAUAUCGAGGAAACAAAAUCCGUUUUUUCUGAAUUUUUUUCACAAUUUUUGCAAAAUGCAAACCAAUUCCAAAAACAAUUAAAUUCAUGAAAUGUAUCGUUUUUUGGACAAAUUACUUCAGAUAAAAAAUAAAAUAGCUUCGCAUACAUUUUUGGAAUAGUAAAAUAAGAUUUAAAUGCCCGCCGUUGAUGUGUCUUGGUAAAAAAAUCUGUUUUUAUGUGUUUAUUAUUUACCUUUUCUCUUGCCUUUUAUAGGAAAAUACCUGGAUUUUGACCAGAUUUGGCCGGUUAUGGCCCGGUUUUUGAGUUUUAAAUUUAUAAAUCUAUUGCCCAGGAGAUUGCCAUAUUUUUGGGUGAAAAUUAUCAAGUUUUCCCGGCCGAAUACAUACAGAAUAAGCUUAGAAAGUUUAAUGAUAGGUAUGAAGAGAACUGUAAGUAAAGACCUUUUUUGCGUUAUUAUUUUAUACAAUGAAAAUUUUAUGUAGAAUGUGCGGAAAAAUAGCAAAAAUAUUUCACUUUUUUUUUUAUAACAUGCGAGAAAUUGCUGUUACAACCGGGUUGUUCUGUAUCAUAUCCAAUAUAACUGCUGGCUGCACAACUCUUACAGUAGCAACGUUAUAUUUCAAAGCACACUACAUGGUCGUCUAUCACCAUAUAAUUAUUGACUUUGGGACCGACUUGUGAUGAUUUUUUCGAUGGGACCGACUUGCGAUCAUUUUCACGAUGGGACAAAUUUACUUGAGGUUUUUUUCAAUGUUCAUCAGAACAAAGUACUCAAAAAAAAUUUUUCUCCUAAAACUACCGAUAAUUUGAAGGUGAUUCCACGGAUAAACGCAAAAAUGAUGAAAAUGCAAAUGGGACGGACUUGCUAUGAGCGGCAGUAUAUCUUAUCGGCACGUUAAUUCCUACAUCGAGAACGCUGUAUCGGAUAGCCGUGUUAAAUCCUAGCAACGCUUGUACUUCCUCUACGACAUAAAAUUUCUCAAACGUAACUGGACGAUCAUCGGAAAUAAACAGCUCUGCAGAAAAUGUUGCUACCACAUUGAUAUUUCCAUUUGAUGCGUAGGCUUUUAACGGUUUAUCAGAGGAUGGACGCAAUGCAAUGAUUUUUCCAGACGCUUCUUCAUCGGCCAUGAUAUCAUCAAACGACGUUUUCGUGAUUGUGUUUACAUGAGCACCUGAAUCAAUCAUAAAUCGUACUACUUUUCCGGCUACCUGGGCAAUUAUAAAAACGUCAGCUGCUGAUGCAAAUAAAGCUUAGUUCUUUUAGAAAUGGGACAGUUACGAAUGCGUGUAUCUCAAAAACCAUUCGUUUGAUCGAAAUACUUUCUAUGAAGAAAAUGAAGGUAAUGUUAUGAUAUUUCAUGAAAAAAAUUUAAAAAAAUUAUUUAUCGUUUUUUGUAAGAGAAAUUUCUGAUUUUUGCUUGGUACCUCUCUUUGGCCGGCGCACACUUUUUUCAGUCAUGAUAUUGAUCAGUUUUUCCUACUUAUACUUCGUCAAAUCUAUAUUUUAGGUGGUUUCACCCUCCUCCUUCAAUUUCUGAUACUUUUUGGUCCAAUACUUCUCUUUUGAAAAAAGCUGAAAGCAGUUUAGUGGAUAAAGUUGUUUCGAAAUGAACAAAUUUGAUCAUUUCUGACCACAUUUGCUAGCGUUUUUAAUGGAAUUUCUGCUGGUAAAAUCUGACAAUAACGAAGUAAAACCAGCAUGAGAUUGAACUUGAAGUAUAAUUGGUUAGUAUAAAUCGUAGGAUGUGGAUGGUGCAUACAAGAUAACUCUUUUUAGGCUUAAAAAACGGCAAAAACCAAAGUUUUUUUUUUAAUUUUUUUUUUCUUUUUAUUUUCAGGAGCAAAAUAUUGGCAAAUUAUUAUAUUUUUAUACAAAAUAACCAGCAAAAACAUACUUUAACAUACUCGGGACCUUGCCACUAGCAAACAUGGUACAGGAUUUAAACGCUGGAAUUUGUUUGAAAUAGGGUAUUUCAUAAGUAUUGUCGUUCAUUAGAAAUCAUCUGUCCUAUAACCUCGGUACCGGCUUUACAACUUACGAGCUCUGCAACUAGCAAAAAUUGUUGUUUGAGGUUAGAUUUGAAUGACUUAUCACUAGGCAACACUUUCAGCUUAUCGGAGAAAAUUGUUUUGGACCUUUCAGCGAUCUACCCUAAGUUUUUCUCUUAUUGAAAAUUAAAAAUGCUGGUAUGAGACUUGACUUCCCUAAUGACCCUUAACCGUAGUUGCCGAUCAUGUGCUUCACUCCAAUGCUUGAUUUGAACUUUGUAGACAUUAUUGACAGUGUUUGCAUACUUAUCCACCACACUAACUCAGUAAUUUUUUGAAGAAUCAACGGUUUUGUCAGCAAUCAAUUGGAUAAUGACGGAUUUUGAAGGAAACUGUGCUAAAUAUUUUUUUUCUUUUUCUCUUGCAUCGAAUAUAUCUCUACAACGCGUAAAUUUUAAAUUUUGAAAAAAAUAGGUCGAAUAGUACUUUUUACAGGCAACAAAAUGCUGUCAAAAUUUUGAAUAUCCGAUUACAAGUAAAGAGCUAUUAACAGAUGAAAGUGUCCCAUUUCUAAAAGAACUAAGCUUUAGAUUGGUUUGUUGCACUGCGAUGUUAUUUAUGUCCAAACUUUCAGGAUCUGUUUUUUUCACGUCAGGAAGUUGCAAAGGUUCCUAAAAAAUAACUUAUCUCUUAGAUACAGUUGCAGAGUGACAAAUUAAUUAAUUUCAUGGUGGCUUUGUCUCCCGUCAUAAUUGUACAAUAUAUUCAUGAAUGUGAAUAAAGUUAAUAGGGAAAAGAGUCAAGAUUUUGAACAUGUCGCAAUAAAUCCUCUUUUGAAUUUAACUGUCUGUGGACUAUGGAAGCCAGAUACAAUUGUAUUUUUUUUUGAAUAGGUCAUCAUGCCAUAGAUAAGCUUUAAUUAUCUUCAAAUCUCAUUCUGUUUAUUGAAUUCAGGUACCCGACUAACAGCUUGAGUAAUAAUGUAAAAAGUAGUUCAAUAUUGUUGCUUCUUUAGACCAAUAUAAAAAAGCGAAUAAUUCACUUUUGUUUAACUAAUUGGAUUUGAUAAUUACCAGAAAUUCUUUUUUUUUUUCUCAUUCUAAUACAAUUCUAGUUCAAAUCAUAUAAUGUAAAAAAAAAUCCUUAUUCUUAUUAAUUCAAAAAAAAAAUGAUGCUUUUGAUCAACGUGCAUGAGGGCCUACUCUGGAUUCUUGUCAGAAUUAUGUACCUCAUUGUCGGAGUCUUGCUCUGACUUGCUUUCUAUUACGGCGAUCUUCUUUGGUAUCUGCUCUUCUGAAGUCGUUGGUCGUUUCCAUGACAUUGAUUUCGUGCUCUCAGCUGUUGAGGAACAAGCUUGAGCAAUGUGUCCAAAUCUACCGCAUUUGUAACAACCUUUACCAGCUGCCGAACAUGUUGACGAAAAAUGAAAAUAACUACCGCAUCUCCAGCAUGAUUCUCCACCUGGAUUGCGCAUUGGUGCUUUGUACGAUCCUCUUCCUCCACGACGGUUAUUGCGAUUACCACGUGGCAUUCCUCUUCCACGCCAACUCUGGACACGAGUAUGUGUGGAACCAUGAGUAACCAUUGCCACUGAUAAAGCUGGUUCGUUGCGGCCUCGGAAUCUUUGGUAUUCCUCCUCGUUUGCUUUCUCUAAUUCACUGUCACGUACCAAAUCAAUUAGGUCUUUCAUAGUACCCUGCUUUACCCAGUUUCUGUGCGCAAGUUUUCUUACUCUGCUAUCGGAAGCGCCCUUCAUUAGCUGCCUGACAACAGCUUCCAUUUCUUCGUCCUCAGUAUAAUCACAUAACUUAGCUGCUGAUGAAACACGGCGCACAAAUUCAAUACUGGAUUCAUCAUUUGACUGAUGUAAAUUUAUAAGCCUUCCUCUUUCAGCUAAGAGAUAGGUUCUCGACCCAAAAUAACUGUCUAGACGAGACAUUGCAUUCGAGAACGGAGCCUGUAGCUCGUCAGGCAUUCCUGGUUCGGAAGGGUUUCAUUCCAUUUCAUCUGAAAGACUCCCCACUUAGCUUGUUCAUCUGCAGAGUUAGCCAUUUUGAAAGCAGCGAUCACCAUAUCCUUCCAGUAUUUAAAUGAUUCUUUGUCUAUGUCCGAUUUACCAGGUUUUGGUAAACAUUCCGGGAUACACAAGGAUCCCAACGUUACACUAUUCAUGGUAGCUAGAAGCACCGAUUCAUUCCUGGUACUAACGUUGACUGCAACAUCAUCUCUCAUUGUACUGGAGUGAGUGGGGCGUAAUCCGGUGUCCGAGUUUCGAUCUGAGUUCUGAUCUGAGUUUUGAUCUGGUAUUUGUUCUGAAGACAAACGUUCCAACUGUUCGCGGAGAGAGUUGUUCUCCUCCAUAGAUUUUUGCAGAGCUCUUCUAAGCUUCUUUUUCGAGUGUUUUCUGGAAGAAAAAAUAAACACAAAAUGUUCAGCUCUAUCCCUCACGGUGUGCACAUUUAAUCUUUCAUGAGCUAUUUGAUCUUCGAUCACUUAUGAAAUAUUAUUCUAGCAAAAUCUCUGAGUUCCUCAUCGAUAAAUAAAACUUAUAUACUCUAUAAAUAACACUCCUGAGUUCUUCGUUUGUUCUUCCUAUCUUUCUAUGUGUGUGUUUACAUUUCCUUGUUUCUAAAGCACGCAGCAAACAAAUUUGCUGUUACUUGAAAUUUCCGCCAUGAUUGUUUUUUCUAUUACAUCAUGUUUAAGCUCUUUUUUUCUUUAACCUGGGCAGCCAUUUUUUUUUUGCCCCAAUACGACCGAAUUCUUCCUGAAUAUCUCGUUUUUUUCAUUUUCAUUUCUCAUUUAGAACAGGACACAUAUAUUUUUAUUUUUUUUUGCACAUGUAUUUUUUUUCUAAAUCGUUUCCGUAUUCUUUGCUAUCAUUUUUUUUUUCUUCUAUCAACAAUUAUUUUUUUUUUCUUUUCUUUUCUUUACUAUUGUAAAACUGUAUACUUACUUUAGAGAAAACGCUUUGGCCGCACCGACUGUGCCACUGUCGUGUCCGGUCGGGCUGCUACCGUCAAUCCCUGCCAUUUCGUUUGCCUCACGUCAGGUCUUCUCUGCAAUCACCUAAAAACUAACUCUUUUCUUCUAUGAAGCAACGUUUGACCCUUUUUUCGAUGAAAAGCUUUCACAAAUACCAAUAUUUUAUAUAGUGUGAGUGACAUUAUUCUACUCAAAUUUUGUUAAAUAAGGGCUCUUUGAGCAAGUCACCCAUAGUCAUCAUCAUCAUUGAGUUCUACACGUUUAAUUUAUUUUGUAUAUCGUAUAAAGGUAGUUUACCAAGAAUUACAAAAACUUAAAUAUAUGGCUAUACUAGUAUUACGUACCACAUCUGGUUCUGGAUCAGGAUUUUUGGAGGACAGCAGCGGUACUAGUGGCAACAGGACUGAGCGAACCUCCGGCGGCAAUCAGAAUUUUACUUGAACUCAGCGCUUUAACGGGGGAAAUGUACUUAGGCGAGGGAAUCAGCCUCGGUGGAAUUUUCCACCGUUUACACCUGAGCCUUUUCCUUGUCCAGCAAACGCCAUUAUUUCCAACUUGGGGCUAAACUUGUCCUUUGCCAACGACUGGUGGAGUGCUGUUGUCCAUGGAUCGUAGAACCGGCGCUCCUGCAGCAGAUCGGUGAUGUCUUUCCGAUUUUCCGGCGUGUUGUUGUUUUCCUUUGCGCUGCUGCUGAUUAUCUGAAUAGAAAAAAAGGUUUAAACUCUAAUGAAAAAAACUAAAAUGAGAAAAUUACUCACAUCUUUUGCCAUAUGUCCAUAUGAAUAUGAAUUCUAAGUCAGCUUGCACUGCGGAUAAAAAAUUAGCACCUCGUCAACCUCAACGCAACCAAACUUGGCCGCAAAGUGGGGCGGCGUCUCGCCACGACUUUUGUCCGGCGUGUUCAAAUACAUAUCCAUGCACUGACUUCAUCGGUCGAGGCAGUUCUCUGGUCCGUGCAGCAGCUCGAUGAAGCCGGGAUUCUCGAUCGUCUGCAGUAUCAGCUUGUACAUAUGGACAUUGCCUUCCAUGGCGGCCACGUGCAGCGCAUUUUAGCGGAGGUCCCUCCUUCAGGAUCGUUGGCAUAUCACCGGACGACACCAGGAAGCGAGGAUUGGCCUGGAUUAUGCAUGCUCUGCACCAGUGGCAACAGGCCCAGCCGUUUUAUCGGGUACUUUGCCUGAAUUGUUAGAUCCAGAUGGACAGGGAGAAGUUUGGUUCCGUGCUUUUUUUUAUGUUCCGGUGUUCCAGAGGGAAUGCACUGUACUGUGAGCACCCUGGUGCGGUUUCCAUUGUUCCUGUCAUGGUAAAAUUAGUUUUUAUAAUAUGGUUGGUAAUUUAAAUCUUAGAGCACCUGCAACGGUUCAGGCGUAAAUAUUGGUUUAAAGUAUACCAGUUUAAGCACAAUUUGAAAUUUUAGAAUCGGCUAAAACACCCACUCCCCACCGGUGUAGGAGCAAAUUUUAAACGGAAACGUUUUCAUUGCAGACACUCAAUAAUUGAGAAGAAAAAACCCAUUUUAUUAGAAAAAUUGCAUUAGUUUUGAGUUUCACGGUUAAUUGUCUUAAAAUUAAUUUUACGAAUAUUCUUUUUGACAGAACAAUGAUUUCAACUAUUCUACCAGGAUUUCAUUAAUUUAAAAGCAAAAAUAACUACACAACGAGGAACAAAAGGUCAAUCGAAACAAUUCUUCAAUUAAUUCAAUCAAAUUGCUUUGAAUCAAUGGAAUAAGGUUUUGUUGAAAUGAAAUGAAGAAGCAAUUUUUUUUUUCAAGUUAUUGCUGACAUUGAUAAAGGAAACGAGAAAUGUUCAUCCCAAAGUCAAAGGAAAUUUUCCUUUGAUUUGUCGACAUUUUUGUUUGACAAAAACUUGUUUCACUAUUAGUAAAUUUAUGAAAAAUUUAUGUUUUAAGAAAAAUAUGCUGAUAUUGACGCUGCUGACGACUCCGAGCAAUCCAUACGAAACUAAAAAUCUCUCAAUAUCUCAAAUAAAACAAAAAUUAUAGAACAAACAAUAAACAUUUAUUUUACCGCAUCGAAAAAGUAUUAAAAUUUUCUUUUCGUUAAUUUUUUUCAAAUUUUAGAACGCUGACUGGAUUCACUUAUUCGUCGAGCCCAAAUGAAAAGCUUUUUAUUUAAUUAUAUUAAAUCAAGAAUAAUGUGACAUCUAUUAUUUAUACUUGAUAUGGUUUUUAUUAACAUCUUUCCUCAAUUUAUGUUACGUAUAGGGUGGUUGAAGCGAAAAAAAACAUUCAAAUUAUAUCUCAAAAAGAAACUAUUAUCACACCCAAUGUUACCCAAACAUGUGUGUAAGAAAAUCAUUGUUGGCUAAAAUUUUUUCACCGUGAACUAAAUCAGUCUGUCGUACACUCAGGCAAAUUUUUAUUAUAAUUCUCAUAAGAUGCAUCUUAUGAACCGCUUUUUAGAGUGUAAAAUAAUGUUUCAUAAGAGUCUUAUGAAAUUCUUAAAAUUUUCAUACGAUGUUCUUAUGAAAAAUUGAAGAAACGGCAUUGUGAAAAAAUAAUGAACACAUUCAUUCAUAGCCUCAGUUUUUUUUUUUCAUCAUCUAACAGUAUGAAGCAAUCGCCAGUUCAUAGUUAUUAAUUAUAGUUUUCCUUCAAUGUUAAAUUUUAUUGUUAUCUCCGGAAUGGUAAGUUCGAUUUGAUGUUUUUGGAGUGAACGUUUACUAAAAUACAUUAUUUGUUUACUUUUCAGCAAGCUGAUCGGCAAAAAACGAAAGGUCGAAGAUAAAGAUGCGGCUAAAAAAAAAAACUUUGAUGGAGCCGUCUGCUGAUGCGUUCCCGCAUAAUCAAAUAUCAUACCCGUUAUCGUUGAUAUUAUUCUGAUCUGAUUACACGAAUAGUGAAUAUUCAAGUAAUCGUUCUAAAAUCUUCAAAUUUUUACUAACUUUUAUAUUUUUCAUGCGUCUUCGCUUAAAAUGAUAAUAAAUUAUUAUUGAAAGAUACGGGUAAUAAUCCUUAAAACAAAACUCAAGAUGUAUUUGAGUGUGUCUUCACUGUCAACAAGAAAAAAAAUGGCGUGCGCGACUUUAGAUUCCUAAGCCCGUAAGAUUCCGGAAAAUCCUCUUAAUUUGGCCAGGCAACCCACGAAUGGCAUGAGCACUUAAGAUUAAGCUGAUCAAGGCCCGCACCGCAAACGCGAGGAAUAAAGCUCAUCAAAGUGCAGCAGAUGCCGGAACAAUCCUCAUCAACCGGCCGAACAAACACUGGAGCGGUUCCAGUGCCCCAGCACUACGCUCCGUAGAAGCGGCAGCAGCUGUGGUCUGUGUAAAAUUGUAAAUACAAUUGGAGAUGGCAGCGAUUUGCGGAUUUGGUGGUGGUGGCGUCGAAGGAAAAGUUUUCCGGAAACCUUGAAUCCCAAAAUGCAGUUGUUUAGAGUAAUCUAAAAUUGACUGAAAGGAUGAGGCAAAACAAACGGUUGCACUACGGUGCGCAGAAUCUGAGCCUCCCAAAAUAAACUGCCGGAAUCGGUCCGCAGAUACCAGCUCCGGUGAUGUGCAGGGUCUACACCGUAUUUUGGGACAUAGUAAACAGCAAGAUCUUCAUCAACCGGAACCUGCAGGGCUGGAGGUCAUAUCAUUGUAAAGAAGGUCAACGUAUUUUCGUGUCGCCUACGCUUCCAAAGCAGAAAUCCUCUUAUUUCAACCAAAAUUCCCGGAAUCGCGUGGCAGGAAACGGCUCCAGGAAUGUGCUGGGACACUGUCUUACGCUGGAGUAAGAAAAGUCCGCCUGAGGAAUCUUACAAUGUACACAGUGCCGAUACGCCAGCAACGGAGGAAACAUGCAAAUUGAAGGCGGUCCCGAGCUAAAAAAAUCCGUUGGGAAGGAUUCUAAAACAUGCCCGCAUAAAUAAGGAUUGUAUCCAAACGUUUUCUGUAAUAGUAUAACGACGAUUUGACGAAGUGUAAAAAAAUGUUAAACGAACGAUUAAUAAAACAUUAAAAUACAUUGCGUUAAACGUGAA